rnacentral:tRNA from 15 species
GGCCACUCUAGCUCAGUGGUAGAGCAGCUGUUUUGUAAACAGCGGGUCGUGGGUUCGAGUCCCUCGAGUGGCUG